rnacentral:rRNA from 1 species
ACGGAGGGGGCUAGCGUUGUUCGGAAUCACUGGGCGUAAAGCGCGCGUAGGCGGCUUGGAAAGUUGGGUGUGAAAUCCCGGGGCUCAACCCCGGAACUGCACUCAAAACUUCCUGGCUAGAGACUUAGAGAGGUGGGCGGAAUUCCGAGUGUAGAGGUGAAAUUCGUAGAUAUUCGGAAGAACACCGGUUGCGAAGGCGGCUCACUGGCUAAGUUCUGACGCUGAGGUGCGAAAGCGUGGGGAGCAAACAGGA